AAAAACACGGUGUGGUUCCACUGAGCACUUGACACAUUUCCUGCACAGUGUAAGGGUCUGUCUCUAACAUCACCAGCACAGUUUUAAGAAUGUGAUGGUUGCCGGGCAGUACAGGUCAGCUUAGGAAGAGAAGCCUUCAAAAACGGAAGUUCUGUAAACAGAAUUCCAGGUGUUGCAUUCCUGUCUUAAACACGUUUCUUUAAAUCCACACGACAGCACGGCGGCGGCAGACUUUUCUACUGGGUUGUCAGCGUCUGAGGUGACUGACAGCCAGCUAACUUCCUGACUCACCAGUUCAGUGUAGUCAUCACUUACUGUGAAAUCGCAGAGGCCCGCCAGGCUCAGCUUGUCUCUUCUUCCUCCGAGAAGCAUCAUCUCCACAUGCUGGGCUUCCCUGUGUGGGCUUAGAAAGCUUUCCUGCCUGAUACCCUUGUCAGUUCACACUUUUCAUUCCUUGAAGUGAACAAAUUCUUCUCGAAGUGUAUGUAGCUCUAACACCCUCAGCUUCUGCUCACCAGGAGCCCGUUAGGCUGCGCCUGCUAGACAAGGCGGGAGCCCUCCAACAUCAGAGAGCGUUGUUGCUGUUUUGAGCGUCAGUUCUUACCGCACACGUAUUCCGUGGGGUUUGGAAUAGCUGAGUAGUUCCUAUGGGGGUUUUUUUGUUUGUUCGUUUUUUGUGGAUCUACAGUGUGCAUGUGCUACCUAGUCAGGUAGGAACCCACCAUCUUAGCUCUGACUCAGGGUGCCAGCAGUGGGUCAUUUUAUCUCUGAUGAGGUAGAAGGGGCCUUGUGCUCGCGGCAAGCUUUCAUUCCCACAGAUGAGGGACACUUGCAAAGUGCCAGCAAGGUUAGAUCUUUGCCACUUCUUUGAUUAUUUUUUUAUUAAUUUGGGCUUUUAAAGGGCUGUUAAAAAAAAAAAAAAAAAAAGAGGCCGGGAACCUUUGAGUAGGCACGCUGCGUACCGAGCUCCCUAGAACCUUUAACUAGAGUUCAUCCUGGUUCAGUGUAUGUACUUGAAGAAGCACUAUUAUAAUCAAUAAGAAUCUAUUCGAGUCUGCCAUUUAAUUUAAACCUUUUCUGUUGCAGAUUGCUUUAUUUCAGGGAAAUGAUUUUCCAGUUUUUGCUACAUUCUGCAAAUAAAAACCGUGUGUUUCCUUUCUUCCACCUAAACUUUGGUAGGAAACAGACUAAAGCAGACAAACAUUUCUUGUUGUGCUUGUUGCUUUCUUUAAUCCAAUGGAUAAAAAAAAAAAAAAGUAAAACUCUGUAAACAUUAUUUUAUUUUUUUAUGCAAUACCAUGCUGUAAAUACGGUUCAUCGAGUAAGGAUGCGCCUAAGAUUGAACCUUUGAUUCUGCACAGUUAGAGUUUAUAUAUAAACGUGUCUUGACAAUCAAGGACUUGACGUGAGUCUUCCUUUGUGAUGUUUAUCAAUGUCGUGCAUUCCAUUUGUCUGAAGUGAGUACCAAUGUGCUGAUUUGUAUGGUCUGAAAGUAUGUAAUGUUUUUACAGCUUGUUUUUAA
rnacentral:lncRNA from 1 species